rnacentral:ncRNA from 1 species
UUUGUCGUGAGACAUGCACUGAAGGAAGCGAGACUGCGGUGUCUGUACUGACGAACAGGAACCACAUACUGAGGCUAUGAGGUGGGAUGAGGUACCACAUGCUGCUGAAGUCCAAAACCUGAGGGAUCAGGAAUCAUCCCCAAAAUAGUAGAUGUGGCAGCGAUAGACACAAGGAUAUUCAC